rnacentral:sRNA from 1 species
CACCACUCCUGUCAGUUAAUACUUCUGAAAAUGUUUGAAGAAAGCAGUUUUUGGUGACCUCUUAAUGUAGUUUCUUCAUGUGUUUAGAACUGAAAAUUCGCCUUUCUUUAGUAUUUAUAUAUGCUAGUCUCUGUUCAGUUGUACGAACGGGUAUGUCUGUGAUCUGCAGUUGUCACUUUUAGUCAUUCUCUGGGCUUGUUAAUUUAUAACUCUGGCUCCUGAGAAACUACUGUUAAUGAAAAUUUUGAAAUCCCUCAAAGAGCUAAUGAAAUGUUCAGCUCUAAAUUCACCUCCAAAAAAGGGGUGGGAAUGAGCUUUUGGAUGAAAUAUUCAGUGUCCUCAGAUGCCCUGAGGAGAAGGGCGAUCCAUUGCCAGCUGCCCCUUGUACUUGUGGCCUCUUUGUCUUGUCUGUCCUGGGAAUGGGUGGAGAGUUAGUGUGGGUGUGGUCUAGGCAGUGAUCGGGCAUCAGGGAAACUGGGCUCCAGCUGGGACCCUCUGCUUUACACAGCGGAGCUGCUGCCUAGCUAUCUCUUGCAGGACAAAACUGGUCUUCUUUGCAGUCCCUGGCGUGGUGUGAAGCCUCUCUCCCUUCCUAAGGCCAAUUAUUUGAAAUGAUCAAGAGCUCUUUACGUACAGACAGGUUGAGUUCCAAUGGUUUGUUUCAGAGACAAUUGUUUUGAACUUGAAAACAAUUUUUCCCUGUAGUAGGAGCAGUAAAAGAAAGAAAAUGCUCAUAGAAAUCUCUUUGAGUUCCAGUUUAGAUGUUCUAAUGUACGUCUGCAAAAGAAAGCAGCAGAAUAGCCGACUUCUGAUUUGGAAGCAAGGAUAGCCUUCACAGCUGAAAACCAAACAAAGAGAACCAUGUGAAAUGGAACAGACGCUGGCUCGGGCUCUAUCUGCUUUUCAUUUGAGUAGACACCCGAGGGAGUGUUGCUGGGCUCAGCAUUUACCUUCAAUCAGUCACUAAAGGCCUCCACUCCUCCCACUGAACUGCGGGGCUCAGUGUUCAUGUCAGGACCCCCACCCCCAGCCCCCCAAUGGCGCAGCACUGCCUACUCAUAGUUGUUCCGCUUUCAAAAAGUCAUCAUUGAUUCUCGAAGAAAAGGAGAAAAUGAUGAAAUCUAAAAGCACAGGAGGUGGUCCAGAGAUUCAAAAGCCCAGGAGACCACAGAGUCAGCUGACCCACUCUACGCUGCCAAGGACAGACUCACUCCUCAGCCCUCUUCUCUGGGCUCAUCUGAAUCAGCUGGACUAAGUUAUUUCAGAUGGAACUGAGCAUGGCCAUUAGAGUUACAGUCGGGCUGAAGAAUGCAAACACAUCACUUUCAGGAUAGCAUUCCUAAGGAGGACCAGCAAGAAGAGCACGGAAGCAGCAGCCUUUGCCAGAAAUGGGUCAGCAGUGCUCUAAAGGAGAAAAUGGCAACUGGCAGUUGGCCUAAGUGGCCCACAGACAGAGUAGAGAUUGAUGGCCUACACUUGGGGAAGCAGAGAUCAACUGACUCAGGAAAGUACAUAAACUACCACCACCUUGGAGGAUUCCCAGGGAAGGAGGCUGAGGCCCAGCUUGUUUGAUAAAUGGAGUCUUGAGUUGCCAUAAAUAAUAGAAAAAAAUGAUUUUUCUUAUUUAUGUUUACAGGCUGGGGAAACCUGGACUUAUGUCAGGCUCUGUGUGUGUGCUGGGAGUUGCUGUGUUGACUGGCGUUUGCAAUUAGCUGGUGCUUAUUGACCAUCCUGAAUGGGAUACGUCCUCUCCAGUAGUAGCGACCAAUGGUCUUAUGAAUCGACAAAGCACAACAAUGUUUCCAACGUGCAUUGGCUGCUGCCCCCAUCCUUGCUUCAUGGCAUUCCUAGAAAUGGCCCUAUAGCAGAAAAAUGUUGAGGAAUGAAUCAUCUUCUUGUCUCCUGCCAGAGGAUAGCCAACAUUUACCUUCCCUUUCUACCCAAUUGUGUUCCUGAAUCUACAAGGCAGAAUGUUGACAGGUUGACUUGAGACCCAUGAAUCAACAGGGAAAUUACUGAAUGAACGAAUCUAUAAAGUGAAAUAGAGGGUUUUGUCAGCACGAUCCGGGCAGCAGAUGGAUGGAAUCCGAGAAGGGAUAGCGCUAAGGCCUGACUGCACAUUUUUCUUUUCUGAGUAUUAAUAAUUGAGAGUAGCUUAAUCUGCGAGCUCUCCCUCCAAGAACCACAUAAAAAAAUCUUGGGCUGAGGCAUUGGCUCUGUUAGUAAACUACUUAAUUUGCAGAGGACCAGAGUUCAAUCCUGAGCAACCCAUGUAGACAAAGCUGAGUGCGGUGGUGGGGUGUGAUUCCAGUGUUGGGGGUGGGGGUCAGAGACAGGUAGACCCUGGGCUUCACCAGCUAGUCAGCUUAACCUACUUGGUGAAUCUUGGAUAAAGUGAGAGACUUGUUCUCAAAAGGAACAGACAAACAAAAAACCCUCCUCCCGAGGUGCGUAGCACCUGAGGAACAACAAUGUGCACAUAGGUACAUGGCGUGCAUGCUAAAAACCGGAAGAACUUGAUACAUGUGGGCUGCGAAGAGUGUUUGGAAUAGAUUGGUGUAGAGAGGAAGGAGAGCCCAGUGGGAAAGAAGGUAGCAGUUAGCUGAAGUAUGGGCAGGAGGUUCUCUUUAAAGAGAAAUGCAAACGGGGUUGUUGUCCCCUCCCUACAGAUGCCUAUGAAGUACUUCCUGUAUCCUAACUACUACUCUAGGGCCUUCAGCGAGGAAACCUUGCAUUUGUGUUACAGACAUACCCUCCUCAGAGCUUUGAAUAGCCAAGACACCACUCCCCGCAGGAGCAGCAAACCAGGCCAACAGCAGUGCCCCUUUUCCCUUGACUUCUUCUCUGCUGCCCACUCUGCCUGGCAGUCAUGCUGACUGGGACCUCAGUGCUGUGUCAUCAUGGAAAAGAAGCCUCGGGGAUGGCUCCAUGAACACUGGAUUCUUGUGCUUGGAACCCUGACUGCCUGUCCUGUGCCCCCCGCCUGCAGGCUCAGGAGUCUGAGACCAACCCAGACCUGGCCUCUCUGUCGGGAACUAAGGAGUCUCAAAAUGCAGGUUGAACACUGAUGAACCAGUGCAUGCCUCUGACAUUGUGUUUCUAUUCUGCUAGCUGGGUUUCUGCUUUGACCUAUGACCCGGAUGAGUGAUUGUCUUGUCACCAUGGACUUCUGUCCCUGCCCCGAAUUUUACUUCGACUGUUUUUCUUAAUGAAAAUGUCCAUAGUCCCUGGAGAGGCAACCUGAAGACCCUGAUUAUAUUACAGACAUCACUACUGAAUAUAUCAUCCCUGGUUCAUAUCACCUAGUAAGUUGGUAGCUUGGCGAAUCCCCACUGAGUUCGAGGCGGUAAGUUAAGAAGUACAUCAGAGAGUCUACAAGAGCGUAUGAGUGAAUACUGUGUGGUGAAAUGUCUGGUGGCAGCAACAAAGGCGUUUUCUCCUUCAGGUACCAGGGAAGCUAACGACUAAACUUUGAACCACUGUGUGAUUCAUCCAGUCCGUAUGGAGACCUCGCAAAGGACCCUUUUUCCUCAGAUGAGCAGACCCUUCGAGAGACAAGCACUCCUCGGUUCCUCUGAUUCAGAAUCUAAGUUUCUGGAUGAGCUAGGGGCGCACUGCUAAACUUCUCAGCACCUUGGUUUUCUAAGCCGAUGUUGCCCUUCUGCGGAUGGAUGGAUUAGCUAUCAUGGCGCCUACUCAGAGUGAGGAAUGGUUUAACGAGUUUCAGAGCAUCCAGUAAAAGGAGAUUCCUGAAGGAAAUCAGUGAAGAAUGCGCCUGCUACUGUUGUGUGCGGGCAUCAGGGUUCUAGUGAUUACAUGGGGAACAGGAGGAAGAAGAGACGCUUUCCUGGUUUUCUACACUGUCCUGGAGGCUUAUGCUGCUUGGUACAGCUGAGGUAAUAACGUUGGGGGAAGUAGGGAGGUGUGGGGGAAAAGGCUAUCUGAAGCUGAUUUUCUUCCAACAGCAAGUGUAGAGUGAGGCACUGAGUGAAGAAUUAGAAGACAAAGGAAUGUUCCAAGGAUGUUUGCCUUGUAUGCCUCAAAUAUUCUUGGGUUCACUUAAGAGAGUUGAGCAUGGUGUAUGCUUAUUAGCUAGCCUCCUAGGCUACCAGGACCAUUCGUUACCCAGCUUCCUUUUUCUGCAAGCUCACCUCUGUUUUAAGACAAUUCAACUCCUGGUGCUGUCCCUUAGCCUGGACACUGCCUGUGGUGUUCUCUCUUCUUUUGCUUAAGGUUAGUCCUUACUGCUGGCUGCAGAUUGGAACCUGGGAGGCCUCUAAAGUCUCCGUGCCUGGGCCCGACUCCCAGUCUAGCAAACAGAAUCUCAAGAGGCAGAAUCCAAACAAGGGAGAUCUGGAAAUUUCUCUGUUAUUUUAAUAGCCAAUGAGAGCCAUUGGUCUGGGGUACCCAGACAGACUAUAGUUGUUUUAUAAUUCAGAACUGGAGGUUCUUCUGGGAUGAUUAGAGACUCACUAAGCUAAGAGACAGCCCUCAUAUUAACAUUCUAAAAACAAGGAGUUGAACAGACAUAGGUGCCUGACUGGAAAGGAAAAGGGCCAGCCAAAGAGGGAGGUCACGAGAACAGACCCCAUUCGACAAAAGGAAAGGAAAGGGGUUCACAGUCUUCUGGAACAUAUACUGCUAGAUAUGGUGUCUAAAGUCAAGGCUGUUAUGAAUGAUUUAGCCCUUCAGGGAGAUUCUUUGCAGUGCAAUCAAUUUUUCUUAUCCUCUCUCUGAAUAGUCAGACUGAAAUAGUCAAACCCCAGGAGUAGAACUGACAUUACAAACAGAAGCAAAGAGAAAGUUCUGAUCUUCUAUUGUGUUGCUGAUAAAACCAAAAAUUGAUUGAGACACCCCUGGGGGGACGGAAGCAAACUUAGGUCCUGUUCCUGCCGAGCGUUAUGAUAAUUUCCUCUGUACAUUCUACUCAGGAGAUAUGUAAUCUACAUUUAAUGUGUGUUCGGACAAGGGACCAGAAGCUUGGUUUUUAAAAGCUGCUUCUAGAUAAAGAUUCAGAGGCCGUACGGCAAGCCCACAGUUUAUUUUUCCUUGGGAAGUUUUGCUAUUGUGACAGAAAAACAUGGCAGCUCAAGAGUGUUUCUGUUCUUGAUAGGAAUGACCUUAGUCCUUGUCCCGAAGGGUUCCAGCUUAUAUUUGUUACCUCAGCUUAAUUACCAAUGACUUGCAUAUUCAUCUGUGUUCUGGGUCACCCUUGUCAUCCUAGAGUGGACCCGUGUGCCUGGAAGGUGAGACCUGUGUUCUAGUGCGAUCUUUUCCAUUCAUCAACUCCAUACACAGAAAAUGACUUCUGCUUAGCACUUAGUGUUCUUUUUAGUGACAUAAAGGAGAUCGAAUUCAGGGAUCCAAGAUCUCGCCUCCUGGCCAGGGAGCACUACCUCAUGCAGAUUUUUGUAUGACUUUUGUAUGAAUGCCAGCGUAUGUAUCUUUGUGUAUUGUUUUUCCUGGAGACAGUUCUGCUGGCUGUCAUUAUAUUUUCAGAAGGUCAUGAUUACAGAACGGUCAAAAUUUUCAAUGGAUAAAAUCUGCAGAACCCUUUACCUCUGUAGAUUGGAUGAUUUUUUUUUAAAUAGAACUUAGAAGUCAGUUAAACUAUUGCAUGAGAAUAUUUCCACAGUGACAAUUGAUUUUCCUUGUACCAAACCAGUAAAUGGAAUCUUAUAUUUAGAGACAGGCAGCCCACACAGUGCAAUCACAGAAGGACUCUCUAGUGAGACAGACAGGAACCCAGCAGUUGGGGAUCUAUCUCCCGUCGGAAGAGCAUAGGGAGGUAGGAAAGAGACCCCUGGGAGAAGGCAGGGGUUUCUGUGAAGUGUGGAUGACUCGCAAGACAACCCAUAAAGUAUCUGCAGCUCCGUGUGAGGUGAACAGAAAAGAGUAAACGAUAGGCAGGGAAGUAGUUGUUAUACAUGAAGAGAAAAGGCUGUGAGCAGAGGGUCUGCAGAAAUGUUUCAGCUUUGCCAUUUUAACUGCUGGGUGACCUUGGGCGGAUGGGUUUCUUUGGGUGUAGAGCCUGAACGAAGCUGCAGGGCUUGAACUGCAUGAUUUGGGCCCCACCUUGCUCACUUUGGCUCACUUCCCACUUUGGCCAUGCCUGAUAGAAUCACCCCAUCUCUAUUUUUUCCUUAGAAUUAGCUCAUUUGCCGAAGGCUUUGAAGUACUGUAUCCUUUCCGUAAAGUACGUCUCAUGAUGAAUAUUCGUUUGCUGGGUAUUAGAGCACAGGCCUGUAAUCAGGAGUCUGAGGCAAGAGGAUUAUAAACUCAUGGUCUGCCUGGGCUGUAGAGGGAAUUCAAGGCCAGUCUAGGCGAGUUAGUGAGACUCUAUCUCACUAUAAAAAGGUAUAAAACAGAACUCAAGAUACAGCUUAGGGAUACAGUGUUUGCCUAGCAUGGCCGCUCACGCUCCAGUACCACAACCACAGCCGCAGCAACAACAGAAUGAAUAUUUAUCACCACACUAACCUAUUAUAGAGAAAAAUGUUGCUUUGCAAUUAUGGGCAAAGGUGUUCUUAGUGGGGUGUGUGUGUGUGUG